UGACGUAUGCUAUACUCCAUGUUUCUAAUAAUAAUAAUAAUAAUACAAAGUAGGCUCUGACGUGUCAGAUCUUUGGUCGUCCUUGGGUUGGUAGCGUCGCUGAAAUGGGCCCAUAUGCGCCGUCUGAUUCAUAGAUUGGGUGGAUACAUACAGAUAUGUUUAUGCUUAUGCAACUGACCAUAGUAGUUGUACUAAUAAUGUACGUACUUUCAAUCUGAACACAACAAAGUUGAAUUUUCAAUGCACAACUAAGUUCAGUUAAAAAGUAUAUAAACUUUUAAGCAGUACAAAGUUGCCAUAUUUUAUAUACUCAAGGCUCUGAACAGAUUACACUCUUCACGCGAAAUUGAUCAAAUGUUUUCGGUGUUUUGUUCGCUUGAGAGGAUAAGAAGAUCACCGAAGACGAAUUUGUGAGAUUUUUCGAAUUUUGGUCACCCGUAUGAGAAGAGAUUUGUGCGGAUUGUAAUUAAAAAAUCAUGGUUGUAGAUGGAGACAAAGAAGGAGCUUCUGCACGUUGAUGGGAUGAAGAAGCAAAGGAUUGAAGAUGAAUGCGCGUGUUUCAGAGCCAAAGAAAACGAUGAACAAUGUUGGAAGGUAGGAAGAGGGUGGCGUAUUCGAUUCUAGGAGAGAGAUAUUCGGUUCCACUCCUACUUACAUAUUUCAAAAAUGGUGUAUUCGGUUACCUCAAAGGGAUAUCCGGUUCCAGGCGUGGGAAAAGUGGUGGGGAGAAGGUGAAGGAGAGGCCUUGGGAUAGUUGGACUCCGCAGACAAAGAGGUAGCGGUAGAGGACAGACAUGAGACCGGUGGCUCCGAGGACGAGAAGGACGAUGACGACGGAGAGACCGGCAGCAAAGAUAUGGGCGAUGGUGAGCAGGGGUGAGGCGGAGAUGGCAACGACGACAAUGGACUUCAUGGGCUGGACCAGCAUGGGGAGGCCGAAGAGCAAGCCGGUGGCGAUGUUGUAGAGCGAAGUGAAGAUCAGUGUGGUAGUGAGAUUCAAGUUGUUGACAAGAGACAGAGCGAGCAUGAUGGGUAUGUACGUCCCUAGGUCACCCACCGCGCCAGAGAGCUCUGAGAAAAGGGUUGUCUUCAGUUUGAUGAAGAAGGGGAGCCACCGAUUGUGGCGGAGGAGAGGGGUGGUAGUGAAAGAAGGGUGGGGUUGGGUGAGAUAAUUGGUAGAAGAGGAUGCGUUGAAUAGGAGGUGAUCUUAACCUUCUUUGAUGAAGUAUCCUCACACUUCACAGGUGUGCAUAAAUCUUUUGUACGUGUCAAUCCUACAACCAAUUUUUCAAAACCUAAUGUACGUGUACA
rnacentral:sRNA from 1 species